rnacentral:lncRNA from 1 species
ACACCAGCCAUAUGAUUAUAUAAAUCCGAUCUGACGGUCACGAUUACAUGGACUUAAAAUACAAAUAUGCACAGGAUUAUGAGUCAUCUUCUUCUCCUUCGCUCUUCACCGGUUGUUUGACCAAAUACAAGAAACGAAUCAAAGAAAGCAGGACAUGCAAAUGAAUCGGCCAAGUGUUGCUUGCAUCCGCUCUACAAACUGCUUUGCUGUCAUCUGAAGCUGAAGGAAUUAUCCCUAGCUCCGUCGGUUUUUUCUGCAACAAAACGACAAUCCCUGCCUUCACUCAUCUUAAUUCAUCCCCCAGUUUUGUUCCUCCUUUUUUAAUCAAUAAUUAAUUGCUGCCCCCUGUUUCCCC